AUGAACGCUGGCGGCGUGCUUAACACAUGCAAGUCGAACGAUUAAGACGGCUUCGGCCGUGUAUAGAGUGGCGAACGGGUGAGUAACACGUGACCAACCUGCCCCGCGCUCCGGGACAACCGCUGGAAACGGCGGCUAAUACCGGAUGCUCCGGGGAGGCCCCAUGGCCUCCCCGGGAAAGCCUUAACGGCGCGGGAUGGGGUCGCGGCCCAUUAGGUAGACGACGGGGUAACGGCCCACCGUGCCCGCGAUGGGUAGCCGGACUGAGAGGUCGACCGGCCACAUUGGGACUGAGAUACGGCCCAGACUCCUACGGGAGGCAGCAGUGGGGAAUUUUGCGCAAUGGGGGGAACCCUGACGCAGCAACGCCGCGUGCGGGACGAAGGCCUUCGGGUUGUAAACCGCUUUCAGCAGGGAAGACUUUGACGGUACCUGCAGAAGAAGCUCCGGCUAACUACGUGCCAGCAGCCGCGGUAAUACGUAGGGGGCGAGCGUUAUCCGGAUUCAUUGGGCGUAAAGCGCGCGUAGGCGGCCGCCUAAGCGGAACCUCUAAUCCCGGGGCUCAACCUCGGGCCGGGUUCCGGACUGGGCGGCUCGAGUGCGGUAGAGGCAGGCGGAAUUCCCGGUGUAGCGGUGGAAUGCGCAGAUAUCGGGAAGAACACCGAUGGCGAAGGCAGCCUGCUGGGCCGCCACUGACGCUGAGGCGCGAAAGCUGGGGGAGCGAACAGGAUUAGAUACCCUGGUAGUCCCAGCCGUAAACGAUGGACGCUAGGUGUGGGGGGACCAUCCCCCCGUGCCGCAGCCAACGCAUUAAGCGUCCCGCCUGGGGAGUACGGCCGCAAGGUUGAAACUCAAAGGAAUUGACGGGGGCCCGCACAAGCAGUGGAGUAUGUGGUUUAAUUCGACGCAACGCGAAGAACCUUACCAGGGCUUGACAUAUAGAGGAAUAACUAAGAGAUUAGUUAGCUCUUCGGAGUCUCUAUACAGGUGGUGCAUGGUUGUCGUCAGCUCGUGUCGUGAGAUGUUGGGUUAAGUCCCGCAACGAGCGCAACCCCCGUCCCGUGUUGCCAGCAUUGAGUUGGGGACUCGCGGGAGACUGCCGGCGUCAAGCCGGAGGAAGGUGGGGACGACGUCAAGUCAUCAUGCCCCUUAUGCCCUGGGCUGCACACGUGCUACAAUGGCCGGUACAGAGGGUUGCCACCCCGCGAGGGGGAGCGGAUCCCGGAAAGCCGGUCCCAGUUCGGAUCGCAGGCUGCAACCCGCCUGCGUGAAGUCGGAGUUGCUAGUAAUCGCGGAUCAGCAUGCCGCGGUGAAUACGUUCCCGGGCCUUGUACACACCGCCCGUCACACCAUGGGAGUCUGAAAUGCCCGAAGUCGGUGACCUAACCGCAAGGAAGGAGCCGCCGAAGGCAGGUCUGAUAACUGGGGUG
rnacentral:rRNA from 1 species